UUUAAAUGUUGACCUUUGAUGAGCUAUUGAAUGUUUUAUUUUAUUGUCUAUUUAACAUGUCUAUGCUAUGAUUUUGUGCAUACUGUUCUCUUAUUUCUAGUGAUUGUAUUGCAAUUGAAACCCUUAUGUAUUAUUAUUGUUGUAUGUAUGUAUGUAUGUAUGUAUGCUUGCCUGGGAAAGGGGGGAAUUGACCCAUAGGGACCAGGGGGUAUUUUUGUGUAAAC